rnacentral:hammerhead_ribozyme from 1 species
CUCCAACUGACAAAUCCCAAAUAGGACGGUACGCACGUCCUGGAU